AGAGUUUGAUCCUGGCUCAGGAUGAACGCUGGCUGUGUGCCUAAUACAUGCAUGUCGAACGCUGCUAGCAAUAGCAGAGUGGCAAAUGGGUGAGUAACACGUACUUAACGUACCUCUUAGAUUGGUAUAACGACCAGAAAUGGUCGCUAAUUCCAAAUACUUGUAUUUCUCGCAUGAGAGAUACAUAAAAGGAGCUUUCAAGCUUCACUAAGAGAUCGGGGUGCGCAACAUUAGUUAGUUGGUAGGGUAAUGGCCUACCAAGACGAUGAUGUUUAGCGGGGUUGAGAGACUGAACCGCCACACUGGGACUGAGAUACGGCCCAGACUCCUACGGGAGGCAGCAGUAGGGAAUAUUCCACAAUGAGCGAAAGCUUGAUGGAGCGACACAGCGUGCUUGAUGAAGGCCUUCGGGUUGUAAAGAGCUGUGGUAAGGGAAGAAAAAGUAGUAUAGGAAAUGAUAUUACCUUGACGGUACCUUACUAGAAAGCAACGGCUAACUAUGUGCCAGCAGCCGCGGUAAUACAUAGGUUGCAAGCGUUAUCCGGAAUUAUUGGGCGUAAAGCGUCUGUAGGUUGUGUGUUAAGUCUGGCGUUAAAUUUUGGGGCUCAACCCCAACACGCGUUGGAUACUGGCAUACUAGAGUUAUGUAGAGGUUAGCGGAAUUCCUUGUGAAGCGGUGAAAUGCGUAGAUAUAAGGAAGAACACCAAAAUGGCGAAGGCAGCUAACUGGACAUACACUGACACUGAGAGACGAAAGCGUGGGGAGCAAACAGGAUUAGAUACCCUGGUAGUCCACGCCGUAAACGAUGAUCAUUAGCUGAUGGGGGAACUUCGUCGGCGCAGCUAACGCAUUAAAUGAUCCGCCUGAGUAGUAUGCUCGCAAGAGUAAAACUUAAAGGAAUUGACGGGGACCCGCACAAGCGGUGGAGCAUGUGGUUUAAUUUGAAGAUACGCGUAGAACCUUACCCACUCUUGACAUCUUCCGCAAAGCUAUAGAGAUAUAGUGGAGGUUAACGGAAUGACAGAUGGUGCAUGGUUGUCGUCAGCUCGUGUCGUGAGAUGUUUGGUUAAGUCCUGCAACGAGCGCAACCCUUAUCCUUAGUUACUACAUUAAGUUGAGGACUCUAAGGAGACUGCCCGAGUAAUCGGGAGGAAGGUGGGGACGACGUCAAAUCAUCAUGCCUCUUACGAGUGGGGCAACACACGUGCUACAAUGGGCGAUACAAAGAGAUGCAAUAUGGUGACAUGGAGCAAACCUCAAAAAAUCGCUCUCAGUUCGGAUUGGAGUCUGCAACUCGACUCCAUGAAGUCGGAAUCGCUAGUAAUCGUAGAUCAGCUACGCUACGGUGAAUACGUUCUCGGGUCUUGUACACACCGCCCGUCACACCAUGGGAGCUGGUAAUACCCGAAGUCGGUUUAUAAACAAACUGCCUAAGGUAGGACUGGUGACUGGGGUGAAGUCGUAACAAGGUAACCGU
rnacentral:rRNA from 1 species